rnacentral:rRNA from 1 species
UACGUAGGGUGCGAGCGUUAAUCGGAAUUACUGGGCGUAAAGCGUGCGCAGGCGGUCCGCAAAGUCUGAUGUGAAAGCCCCGGGCUCAACCUGGGAACUGCAUUGGAAACUAACGGGCUCGAGUGUGGCAGAGGGGGGGUGGAAUUCCAACGUGUAGCAGUGAAAUGCGUAGAGAUGUGGAGGAACACCGAUGGCGAAGGCAGCCCCCUGGGCUAACACUGACGCUCAGGCACGAAAGCGUGGGGAGCAAACAGG